GUAUAACUAGAGAUUUUACUUAGAUAUUUUUGGUUAUUCCCAAACAGAUUCCUAUGCUUUGCGUUCAGUAAACUUUCAACCUGUUGCAUUCAAUUUAUAUAUUGUAUUUGUAGUGUAAUUUCUUUUUCAAAAAUUAUCAUUUUCAUGUUCAUUUGUAUCAGCGGUGUCAUUAAUAGUGGAGAACACUGUAUAUAAUGCUUCAGACUUUUCCAAUUGACUUGCUCUGAACCCCUGCAGGUAAAUAAAUUACUUUGAAGCCUCACAAAUUCCAGCAUGCCUGACAACGCCACGGGGCAUCAGCAGCAGGAAAGGCUUUCAUGUCCUAGCCUUCAAGAAACCUCACACUCCCUGCCUUACAAAUCCUGCCCAGACAAAGAUGCUGCUUUUCCUUUGGGUACUAAUGCGACUGGAGAAAAGCGGAGGUGCAGAGGAGGUGAAUGACAGAUGAGGACAUUGACUGAUGAUGCAGCUUGUCAGAGUAUUAAGAGCUGUGGCUCAUAUGUUCCUGUGGCUGCUCUCAGUGUCAGUCCUGCACAGGGAGAACAUUUGCUUUUACUCAGCUCCACCUGGCCUGCCAGUGUUUUAACAGCCCACCAGAGUGCCGGGGUGUACAUGACUGGGGCAUUCUAAACAAUCUACACAUGAUGAGACGAGUGGAAGAGUAUGACCCCCAUUCCCUUUAAUGUCUCCGCCAUCCACCACCCCCCGCCUGCCGAGCGUACAGAACGUAACUGCUUCAUCUGAAGGUCUCUUUCCCCCGCGAGAGAGUUUUUACUGGAUCCUGCACUGGGACGCCCCGCUGUUCCCCGCCUCGGUGCCUUCAAAAGGGGCCACCUGCCCGGCGUGGAGCAGACAACAUGCGAAAUAAAUAUUACCCUGACCCCUCGCUCCGGCUCA
rnacentral:lncRNA from 1 species